AUAACUAUUGGAAACGAUAGCUAAUACCGCAUAACAAUGGAUGACACAUGUCAUUUAUUUUNAAAGGGGCAAUUGCUCCACUACAAGAUGGACCUGCGUUGUAUUAGCUAGUAGGUGAGGUAAUGGCUCACCUAGGCGACGAUACAUAGCCGACCUGAGAGGGUGAUCGGCCACACUGGGACUGAGACACGGCCCAGACUCCUACGGGAGGCAGCAUG
rnacentral:rRNA from 1 species